GACGAACGCUGGCGGCGUGCUUAACACAUGCAAGUCGAACGAAGAGCGAUGGAAGCUUGCUUCUAUCAAUCUUAGUGGCGAACGGGUGAGUAACGCGUAAUCAACCUGCCCUUCAGAGGGGGACAACAGUUGGAAACGACUGCUAAUACCGCAUACGAUCUAACCUCGGCAUCGAGGAAAGAUGAAAGGUGGCCUCUAUGUAUAAGCUAUCACUGAAGGAGGGGAUUGCGUCUGAUUAGCUAGUUGGAGGGGUAACGGCCCACCAAGGCGAUGAUCAGUAGCCGGUCUGAGAGGAUGAACGGCCACAUUGGGACUGAGACACGGCCCAGACUCCUACGGGAGGCAGCAGUGGGGAAUCUUCCGCAAUGGACGAAAGUCUGACGGAGCAACGCCGCGUGAGUGAUGACGGCCUUCGGGUUGGAAAGCUCUGUUAAUCGGGACGAAAGGCCUUCUUGCGAAUAGUGAGAAGGAUUGACGGUACCGGAAGAGAAAGCCACGGCUAACUACGUG
rnacentral:rRNA from 1 species